rnacentral:rRNA from 1 species
CACGUAGGGCGCGAGCGUUGUCCGGAAUUAUUGGGCGUAAAGAGCUCGUAGGCGGCUGUUCAAGUCGAACGUGAAAACUCGGAGCUCAACUCCGAGCCUGCGUUCGAUACUGGAUGGCUAGAGUCUGGUAGGGGGAUCUGGAAUUCCUGGUGUAGCGGUGGAAUGCGCAGAUAUCAGGAGGAACACCAAUGGCGAAGGCAGCUCGCUGGGACGUUACUGACGCUGAGACGCGAAAGCGUGGGGAGCAAACAGG